CGUGAUCACUGUAACGCCCUGAGUGUUGCGGAUGUUUCGCAGAAGUUGACCGAACUUGAUUAUUUAGAGGAAGUAAAAGUCGUAACAAGGUUUCCGUAGGUGAACCUGCGGAAGGAUCANUAAAGUUCUCCUUUCAAGUUAUAAACAAAAACACAAUAUAUAAAAUACUUAUAUUGUAAAAUUAUGGCAAAUGCCAAAAAGAAACAAAAUAACAAUAAUAAAAAUGUUUAUUAUUGUAUCGCCUCCUAGGCAAAAAAGUAUAGUAUAAAGUGUUUGUGUGUGUUACACAUUACACAAAAAUUGACUUAUUUAUAUAAAAUUUGUAAAAACUGAAAUUGUGUGGACGUUAUACAAAAUUAAUUUGUAUAGAAAAUGUCUAAAAAUUUGAAAUACAUAAAAUUAUAGUUGUACUUGUAUAAAAUUGAAAAGUAAUUUUUUAUAUAAGUCAAUCAUUGUUCGUUUUUUAAGAACUUGAGACAUUCGCAACAAAAAUUUUAUGUUUUAGUUAUAAAAGAGAAGAAUAAUAAGCAAAAAUUAUUGAAGGAAUUGAUAUAUGCCAAUUUGAAACUUUUUGGUGUAUUUUUGAUUUC
rnacentral:rRNA from 1 species